rnacentral:rRNA from 1 species
UGGGGAAUAUUGCGCAAUGGGGGGAACCCUGACGCAGCCAUGCCGCGUGAAUGAAGAAGGCCUUAGGGUUGUAAAGUUCUUUCGGUAUUGAGGAAGGUUGAUGUGUUAAUAGCACAUCAAAUUGACGUUAAAUACAGAAGAAGCACCGGCUAACUCCGUGCCAGCAGCCGCGGUAAUACGGAGGGUGCGAGCGUUAAUCGGAAUAACUGGGCGUAAAGGGCACGCAGGCGGUUAUUUAAGUGAGGUGUGAAAGCCCCGGGCUUAACCUGGGAAUUGCAUUUCAGACUAGGUAACUAGAGUACUUUAGGGAGGGGUAGAAUUCCACGUGUAGCGGUGAAAUGCGUAGAGAUGUGGAGGAAUACCGAAGGCGAAGGCAGCCCCUUGGGAAUGUACUGACGCUCAUGUGCGAAAGCGUGGGGAGCAAACAGGAUUAGAUACCCUGGUAGUCCACGCUGUAAACGCUGUCGAUUUGGGGGUUGGGGUUUAACUCUGGCGCCCGUAGCUAACGUGAUAAAUCGACCGCCUGGGGAGUACGGCCGCAAGGUUA